rnacentral:lncRNA from 1 species
GAAGAUUUGAUAACUCUCUGGACGACGUUCGGACACAGAAGCUCGGACGAUAAAAUCCCAUCGGACGUCCGAACAACAACUUGACUGAUUUUCGGACGAUGGGAUCGGACGAUGACUAAGCUGUCGGACGUCCGACAGGCCAACGGCUAGUUUCGACAGCAUUUAAUAUUUGACCGUUGGAGAGCCUUUUGGAGCCAUUUCUCACCUUCUAUAAAUACCCCAAAACACAAGAAGAUAGGAGACCUUUUGCCAACACUAUAUACAAGCUUACAAGUGAGAUCUUUGAGUAGAAAUAUUCUUUGUUGGUUGUAUAAGGGGUUGGGAAAGUUGGGUUGUGAGGUUGCUCAAGUGAAGGUUACUCUCUAGGAGAAGUAAAACCUUAGUGAAGGUGAACCUAUCACUUGAAGUGGUAAAACCUUGGUGAAGGUUGCCUCAUUUGUAUAAAAUAGUUCUUAAUUGGGUGAGUGAUCUUUCAAG